rnacentral:rRNA from 1 species
AUUGAACGCUGGCGGCAGGCCUAACACAUGCAAGUCGAACGAGUGGCGGACGGGUGAGUAAUGUCUGGGAAACUGCCCGCUGGAGGGGGAUAACUACUGGAAACGGUAGCUAAUACCGCAUACCAUCGGAUGUGCCCAGAUGGGAUUAGCUAGUAGGUGGGGUAACGGCUCACCUAGGCGACGAUCCCUAGCUGGUCUGCGAGGCUGACCAGCCACACUGGAACUGAAACAGGGUCCAGACUCCUACGGGAGGCAGCAGGGGGGAAUAUUGCACAAUGGGCGCAAGCCUGAUGCAGCAAUGCCGCGUGUAUGAAGAAGGCCUUCGGGUUGUAAAGUACUUUCAGCGAGGAGGCGUUACUCGCAGAAGAAGCACCGGCUAACUCCGUGCCAGCAGCCGCGGUAAUUC